GUCUGCAUGGAGCCGACCUUGAAAUACCACCCUUUAAUGUUUGAUGUUCUAACGUGGACCCGUAACCCGGGUUGCGGACAGUGUCUGGUGGGUAGUUUGACUGGGGCGGUCUCCUCCUAAAGAGUAACGGAGGAGCACGAAGGUUGGCUAAUCCUGGUCGGACAUCAGGAGGUUAGUGCAAUGGCAUAAGCCAGCUUGACUGCGAGCGUGACGGCGCGAGCAGGUGCGAAAGCAGGUCAUAGUGAUCCGGUGGUUCUGAAUGGAAGGGCCAUCGCUCAACGGAUAAAAGGUACUCCGGGGAUAACAGGCUGAUACCGCCCAAGAGUUCAUAUCGACGGCGGUGUUUGGCACCUCGAUGUCGGCUCAUCACAUCCUGGGGCUGAAGUAGGUCCCAAGGGUAUGGCUGUUCGCCAUUUAAAGUGGUACGCGAGCUGGGUUUAGAACGUCGUGAGACAGUUCGGUCCCUAUCUGCCGUGGGCGCUGGAGAACUGAGGGGGGCUGCUCCUAGUACGAGAGGACCGGAGUGGACGCAUCACUGGUGUUCGGGUUGUCAUGCCAAUGGCACUGCCCGGUAGCUAAAUGCGGAAGAGAUAAGUGCUGAAAGCAUCUAAGCACGAAACUUGCCCCGA
rnacentral:rRNA from 1 species